UUGGGUACCACUCUAACCUGCCUUGGUCAGACCCCACCUGUAGUCCUGAGCCCAGUUCUGGGCAGCCCAAUUCAAGAAGGAUAUGGAGAAACUGGAAGGCGUACAGAGGAGGGCAACCUUGACGAUCAAGGGUCAGGAAACCAAGCCUUAUGAGGAACAGUUGAAGAAGCUGGGGCGAAAGGUGGGUCAUAAGAUAGAAAUGUUCCAAGCUCCUCAAGGCUAAACUAAUCAUUAAGAGGAGAAGACAGAGAAUGAGUGUCUAGAGGAGGAAUACAGUGGUACCUUGGUUCUCAAAGGCCUUGGUUCUCAAACGCUUUGGUUCUCAAACUCCAGAAACCCAGAAGUAAGUGUUCCGGUUUUCAAACGUUUUCCGGAAGCCGAACAUCUGAUGCAGCUAUCGGCUAUUGUUUCCUGGGCACCUGCACCAACCAGAAGCUGUGCCUUGGUUUUUGAUCAUUUCGGAAGUCAAAUGGAUUUCUGGAACAGAUUAAGUUUGGCACUUUUAUUUUUGCUAUUUAUUUUGCGUUUUUGUGGUUUUUUCGGUUAAUUUGUUUUUUUGUGACUGUGUGGAACCCAGUUCAGCUACUGAUUGAUUGAUUGUGUGACUGCGAAAAUGGAUAAAAGCCCCCCAUCCAAACAAUGACUAUCAUCAGUGCAGUUUCAAGCUCUUCUCUCCCACCCACCCACCCACCCACCCACCCAAAACCAGGAUCCCACAGCUGUUAUCAAUAUGAGGGGUGCAGCGUGACCAAAAGCAGAGAGUUCGCUUGUGUGGGAAAGGAGAGAAACUGACUUGUCACUCGUAAGCUGUCUCUCUUCUUUCCAUCUGCCAGACAGCAAACAAUCCCAAAUGUUCAACAAGAUGGAAAGUACAAACGGGUAACUAUGACGAGGGUGAUGGUUUGCAGGUAUUGGCAUUCCCCGGAUGCAGACCGCAUGGCUAGAGCACGGGGACUUCGUAUUCUUCAUUCCUGAUAUUAGGUGUGACACUCGGAUCGUGCUGGGCAGAUUCUGAAGGAGCCGUUGCUUUGCGGAGAGCAGGUGCUUUGUGUACAGAAGGUUUUUGCCUCCUCAGUAGCUCCGCGGAAAAGAACAGCAGGGAGCGAGGCUUGAAAAGAGCUGUGCUUGACUUCUCGGGCAACCGCUGCCAGUCAGAACAGAUACUUCGGGGUCAAGAGGUUCUGCUGCUGAAACCUUCCUGAAAGAAAGCAGGAACUGUUCAAGAGCGAGGCCAUUGGAAACAAAUGGCACCUUAUAAGAACACAGGAAACUGCCUGGUAUUGACUCGGGAGGAAGAACGCACAGCGAUAUGGUUCGUUGGCAACGGGGCAUCAACAACAAGAAGUCAAUUUUCAGAACUUGGGUCUUUUUGUUGUUUACGCAAUACAAUACUGCGUGAUUCAGAUCAGUAUCGUCUACACUGACUGGCAGAACUCUCAAAGGUUUCAGGCAGCGACUCUCUCCCAGCCCUGCCUAGAGAUGCCAGGGAUUGAACCUGGGACCUUCUGCAUGCAAAGCAGAUACUCUGCCCCCUCUCCCCAGUGAAUCAUGUGUGUUCCAUAUGCCUUGUGUGAGCAAGUACUUUCUUUUGUCUCAUGGAACUUUCGCCCAUUUAUUUCACCAGGAAGCCUUGAAUUCUAAUCUUGGUGGAGUUUCUAGGCCGGAGGAGACAAUUGCUUUUAAAGGGGGGGGGUUUAAAACCCCGCAGUGGUUAACAAGCUCGGAUCCUUUCUGGCAUUAAAAUGUAUACGUCAGAUGCACGCUCUUUCUUCAAAGUUCAGUUCCACCUAAUUCUUCCUCCACGUUUUGCUGCUAUGUUUAAUUAAAGGUAGCUUUACCUGUUUACAGUAUAUGUUCACCAUUCAGCUUAUUUCCCCCUGCUUCUAAACCAGGCAUCCCCAAACUGCGGCCCUCCAGUUGUUUUGGCCUACAACUCCCAUGAUCCCUAGCUAACAGGACCAGUGGUCGGGGAAGAUGGGAAUUGUAGUCCAAAACAUCUGGAGGGCCGAAGUUUGGGGGUGCCUGUUCUAAACAAGGAAACUUGGUUUGGGGCAGGGGGAGUUGGAAAAUAGCUCUAGGGGUUGCAGAGAGAUUUUGAUGAUGAGAUGGAGACUAGCCAAUCAGUGCUACCCACCUCCAGUAAUUGCUGCAACCUUGUACAUGUCUUUAUUUUCAAAGGACAGCAUACAGAAAAAAAUAUUGAAUGCAAUGAGACUGCACAACCCAAGGCCAGCCCUAUCAUGAGUCACAUUGGGGCGCUUGUUAUCUUGGGCAGCAGUUUGGAAAGGCAGUGUGAUAAGAUAUACAUUCCAAGUACUGUAUACAAAUCAGUUCAAUCUAUACAAUCCAUUUCACCAUACAUUCUUACUAGAAUACAUAAGACUUCCCGUCACCCCCUGUGUGUUUACGAUUUCUAUUAUCAGUUGUACUUAUAAUUAUUACUUUGUUCUUUUUAUGUUAUCUUAUAAUUUCUUACGCCUUUUCACAUCUCUUUACCUUAUUUUUUUGUUGUUGUUAUUUUACAUAGAAGUCAUUCAAACGCUACCAUAGAUGCCACGCCACUAUUGUAUUUUUCUAAAUAUUUCUUAAACAUGUCCAUAGCUGCCAAGUUAUCCCUUUUUUUAAAGGGAAAUUCCCUUAUGCUGAAUAGGCUUCCUCGUGAGAAAAGGGAAAACUUGGCAGCUAUGCAUGUCCCAUUUUUGAAUAAAUCUCUGCUUUGUAUUGCCCCUCAUCUUGUUUGUCAUUUGUGCCAUUUUGGCGUAGUCUAGUAAUUUAUUCUGCCAAUCUAAUUUUGUUGGAACCCUCUCCCCGUUCCAGUUCAUUGCAAUCAGCAUUCUUGCAGCAGCAGUUGCGUACAAGAAAAUUUCUUUUCCAUUCUUUUCCAUUCACUGCUGCCUUCCCACAGCCCACCAGAACUAGUGUCCCCCCUUGCCAGCUGCUCCAAUGUCACUCAAGCUCGUUACUGGAAGCAGACCGCCUGGGCACUUUGGCAAAGUUGCAGCUGCCAGCCAUUCAGGUUGCAUGGCACCCCAAAAUGCACAUUUUGGGGUGCUGUGCAAGAAUGCUGCCCCCCAAAAGUACAGUGAUCUUGUGUGCCCCCCACAAAUGCAUAUUUUGGUCCCAUGCCCGCCAAAAGUAGAGUCUGAAAUCACGCAAGACUGAAGUGGCCAUUUUGGCCACUGUCCCCUUGCGAGAAAAAAACGGGAUGUUCCAUUUUUUUCCUGGGGCAGUUGACACAUAUGGCAAUCCACAGAGUGACUUAGCAGCCAACCAGAGAAUUCUUGGAACAUCUUAUGUUAAAUCUUAAAACGCUGGUCCAGGCAGGAAGGGGAGUGAAAUAUACUCGGAGUCGAGAGUGAAUUUCAUGCUCUUUAUUCAGCUUGUAGUAGCAAAAGAAGAAUGGCUCUUUCCCCAAAACGUCUGCUAUAUAUACAUUAUUUACACAAUGGGCCUUGCGUGAUUGGCUACUUCAGGGCUGCUCCUGUAGGCCAAUCAGGUUGCGGAUUCAAUUCCGCCAGGAGCCUGAUUAGCUGCUCCUGCAGGCCAAUCAGGUUGCUGACUCGCUUCAUCCAGGAGCCUGAUUGGCUGCUCCUGCAGGCUAAUCAGGUUGCUGAUUCACUUCCACCUGGAGCUGGAUUGGGUGGCUCCUGCAGACCAAUCAGACUGCUGCAUUCUGGAUCCUAUUGUUCUAGGAUUCAGCUCAGUACAUAACAGGGAGGCAGUUUCCCAUCCUCACAAGGACCAGCCAAUCAGCUGCAAACAGGAAGAAGCGCUUGCUCCCAAUAAGGCCGAUCGUGCCCAGAAGGUUGUACAGUGCUACCUCGACUUACGAAUGACUCGACUUACAAAUGUUUCGACUUACGAACGGAGCUCCGUCCGCCAUCUUGGAUGCGGUUUAGAUAGGAUUUUUUCGGCUUACGAAUUUUUAGAUAGGGUUGCUUCGACUUACGAAUUUUUUCUCCCAAUGCAUUCCUAUGGGAUUCGACUUACGAAUUUUUUCGACUUACGGAUGUCCGUUCGGAACGCAUUAAAUUCGUAAGUCGAGGUACCACUGUUCAUCCAGACAAUGCAUUCAUAUCUCAAUCCAGGGAUGUACCACAGAGCAACCGCAGGUUCCCCCAGAAAAGGCUGGCAGGGGGAAAAAAGAGGCAUGAAAAUUGCUGCUUUGAACCCACUUGCAAAAAUAUAAGUAAAUAAGCCAAUAAUGAUUCGAGAGAACCGGUGGUGACAGUAAUAGCCCUCUUUUGUUUUUUAAAUGCUGCUUGUUUUCCCCAGGCUCCUCACUCAUAGCAGAAGAGAGACUCACUCCCAAUUACAGUCUCCAAAGGUUGCGCAGUCAGCCGCUGUUCCGAGCAAGGAGUUGAUGGAAUUGCUGUGAAGUUUGGCUUGGCGCUCAGAAAUUAAAAGCACAGCAGCUCUUGAGGUUACGUCUCCACAGGAGAAAUUUAGGGUGAUAUAUUGCAGCAAGUUAGUACAGCCAACACUUUCGGUGGUCCCUUUCGAUGUCUGUGGCCAGUUGAAAUUUGCAUUUUGCCCCACCGCCCUCUCUCUUUCUUACUUUAUUGACUGACGGACUGGUUGCAUUUAUAUCCCACCUUUUUCUCCGAGGAGUCCCAAGUGGCAUAUGUGGUUCUCGUACCCUCCAAGUGUCCCUAUUUUUCAGGGACAGUCUCAGAAUUACAAAAGCCAUCCUGGCUUCUGAUUUGGAAUGUCCCUAUUUCCCUUGCCAUUACCACCACCACACUGAGCUUGGGGAGGAGGAAGAGCUGGCGCUUGUCCCGAGUGACGUUGGCAGCAGCGGUGGUGGCUGCGAGGGAGCACCCCAUUGCCUCUUUCUGGCCUCUUCAUGCCUUCAUCAUGGUCCCUCUGUGGCCGCCGCUGCUGCUGCUGCCACCCUCCUCCUUAGGGCAGCUCAUAGUGGCUACUGGAAAGCAGGCAGCCUUACACUGCAAUUCUAAGCAUUUUUACUCAGAACUAAGCCCCACUGAGUUCAAUAGGAUUUACUCUCUGGUAUGUUCCUGAUCAUUCUCGUUAGAGGUAGGUAGCCGUGUUGGUCUGACGCAGUCAAAAUAAAAAUAAAAAAUCCUUCCAGUAGCACCUUAGAGACCAACUAAGUUUGUCAUAGGUAUGAGCUUUCGUGUGCAUGCACACUUCUUCAGAUACACUGAAACAGAAGUAACCAGACCCUUAUGUAUAGUCAGAGGGUGGUGGGGGUGAUGGGAAUGGGUGAUGGGCUGAUAGGAAUGGUAAACCUGUUGAUGACUGUUAAAGACUGUUAAUGACUGCAAUUGGUCUCGUUGUUGUUGUUGUUGUUGUUGUUGUUGUUGUUGUUGUUGUUGUUGUUGCUGCUGCUGCUGCUGCUGCUGCUACUCUCCUCCUCCUCCUCCUCCUUUUUCUUAUUGUUAUUUCCUGCCUUUUUUCCUGACAGCAACUCAAGGCAGCUAAAAUUCAGAGGGAGAGGGUGGUGCUGUGGUCUAAACCACUGAGCCUCUUGGGCUUGCUGAUCAGAAGGUUGGCAGUUUUAAUCCCCUUUAUGGGGUGAGCUCCCGUUGCUCUGUCCUAGCUCCUGCCAACCUAGCAGUUCGAAGGCACACCAGUGCAAAUAGAUAAAUAGGUAGCGCUGUGGCAGGAAGGUAAAUGGCAUUUCCGUGUGCUCUGGUUUCCGUUGCGCCAGAUUUGGUUUAGUCAUGCUGGCUUCAUGACCUGGAAAGCUGUCCGUGGAAAAAACGCCAGCUCCCUAGGCCUGAAAGUGAGAUGAGUGCUGCAACCCCAUAGUCACCUUUGACUGGACUUAACCGUCUAGGGGUCCUUUACCUUUUUUUACAGCCAAAAUUUUAUUUCAUUCCCCUUAUCUGUUGAAGGCGUUGUACAUUAUCCUGUCCCUCGCAUAUUUUUUCUUUUUUCUUUACAACGUUCCUGUGAGGUAGGUUAGGCAGAGAAGAAGAAGAAGAAGAAGAAGAAGAAGAAGAAGAAGAAGAAGAAGAAGAAGAAGAAGAAGAAGAAGAAGAGGAGGAGGAGGAGUUUGGAUUUGAUAUCCCGCUUUAUCACUACCCUAAGGAGUCUCAAAGUGGCUAACCUUCUCCUUUGCCUUCCUCCCCCACAACAAACACUCUGUGAGGUGAGUCAGGCUGAGAGACUUCAAAGAUGACAGGUGUGUACAUGUGUAAGAUGUCUAUGUGUACGACGAGAUCAAACGGGGGAGAAUCUUCCUGAUGCAGAAUAGGAUGUCCCUAUUUUCAUCAGAGAAAUGUACUAGGUCAGGGGUAAGGCAUACUUUUUGCCCCACGGGCCCAGAUUUUAUCUCCCCCACCCAAUGGGCCAAUUUUGGCAGGUGGACCGGGCAUCUCACCCCUCAAUCCUCUGAUUUCAUUCUGGUGUCAGCUGGCUGGUAGGUAGUUGAUCCCACCCACCUGUCAAAAGCUGAGCUGCUGGGGUGAGGUGGGGUUCUGCUUUGCCAGUGCCUUCUGCACAGGAAACCCCUGUGAUCCUCUGUUGAACUACCAACAUCCACCAUCCCUGGACCCUGACAAUUGGCGAUGCUGCCCGGGGCUGGUGGCAGUCCAACAACUGAUCUAGAAGCAUAUGAUGAGCUACAGCAGCUCCAUUAAUGUGUGACCCCAGAAUUCUGGAUCCAAAACGAAUGGUAAAGUUUAGUGCUAGUUUUGUGCUGUGGACCCCAUGUUUUGUGCUGUCCCCCCAAACUGACACAGCAAAUCGGGGUCACAAGUUAACGCCAAAAAUGUGGACGGCACCACAUUGAGCCGCAUAAAGGUAUCCGAAGAAGUGUGCAUGCACACGAAAGCUCAUACUAAUGACAAACUUAGUUGGUCUCUAAGGUGCUGCUGGAAGGAAUUUUUUUUUAUUUUGUUUCGACUACGUCAGACCAACACGGCUACCUACCUGUAGUCAAAAAAAUCCAACCUUGUCCAAUGGAGUGCCAAAAUAUUGUGCUAGUUUGAUGCAGCAGCCUUGGGUGAAGCUAAGCAGGUUUGGAGCUAGUCAGGGUCUGGAUGGGGAACUGUGUGGGAACUUCAUGCAUGUGGAGAUGGACAG